CGGAAGUGGAGUUGGUAGCGCGAUGGCGGCCGCGGGGCCGCAGGCCGCGCUUUGAAUAUUGUGUUCAAUUCUGGGCCCCUCACACCAAGAAAGACCUUGAGGUGCUGGAGCGAGUGCAGAGGAGGGAACGGAGCUGGACAAGCCAAACAAGCAGUGCACCAUGCGUGCUACUGAAAUGUUCCACCCCUUCUUACCUCCUGGACAUCGCUGAUGGCCAAAUCCAGAACUGGAGCCAUGGACCGAUGAGGGAGAAGAUAAAACGUUUCUCAUCGAGGUUGCCCCCAGCUGCUCUACCUGUUACAGCCAAAAGCAGCAAGUGUGUGUGUUUUGCUCUCAAUGUCUUUCUGCAACACCCAAGGAACGAAUAAGUAAAAUAUUUUUCUUCUUCAAUGCAUUAGCUAUUAUGAUGUCAUGGAGAACUUGUCCACAUUUUACAAAUUAUAUUUGGUAUUUUUGUUGCCCCUAAAGUGAGGGUUCUUCACCUGGCGUGCAAUAAGACGACCUACACACAGAGCCAAGAUGUUUUUCUUUCAGUUCCGCAGAUUUGGGUGCUGGGCAUUUAACAGAGCCAGCACACCCUUAGUUUCGAUUCAUCUCAUAUUUAUGGUAACAAGAUGCAGUGGGUUGGUGAAUAACAAUUUCCUUUUCCGCCCAUGACUACAGAUUCUCAUGUUUAUGUGUCUGGCUUCAUGUUUAAAACAUUUAGAAAGGUAUUCUAAUUAGCAUGCUCAUUGUUCACAAAGGGGUGUGUAUUUUAGUAUUAUAAUUAUCUAAGGUAGUUGAAGAUUCACCUUUAUCUGAUUUUCGCUCCAAAUUCAUGCACAUAUAUGUAAGUUGGCAACCAAAAUGGCAAAGCAGAAAUUCAGUCGUUCUCCUCUUGGGGCUUUCUCUGCUGUUCUUCAAGGCGAGGUUCUUUUCAUGGUUUCAACACAGACCUACAUAAUUGUUCACUUCGUAACUUUUAGCCCUAUCUUUUCGACAUCAUUUUGAGUUGAGACGCUUGUAUUGAGAAGUAUUUUUCCCCGUAUUUCCACUGUUGAAGUGGUGCUUAGAUGUUUGUCUUUUGGUGGGACGUUUGGAACACCGUACAACAGAGCUGUGACUGAGAUCCAUCAGGUCUGACUGUUACCUGCAGCAGAACCAAAGAACUCUGGGUUGGGGGAGGAUAUCAAGGAAAUUGUUUAAUGACCAUUUUUUGGUAACUGCGUUGAUUUAAGCAACCCUACCCCUCCACCCAAACUUCAGGCCAGCUGUCAUCUGAAGUAGUGCUGGGUUGCAAAAGUGAAGUCAACCAGUUGUCAGUAUUUUUUGUUGGGUUAUUUUUAAUUUGGAUCCAUUUCUUAACCUGGUUCCCCAUCAUUCUCCAUCUCCUGCAGUCUGAAUGAAGGAAGGAAAACAGAAUCCAAACAACAACAGAAAUGAACUAGUAGGAUCUUGGCAACAGAAACAAGUUUCAGGGGCAGCUUGCGUGAGCAGGACAGCUGAAAAUGGUGCCUGUUUGUGGUCUUUGUACAGCUCUUUAUAGUUAUAGAUCUUGGGAAGGAUUCAGGGAGGAAAAGUUUAUCAAAAUAAGGAGGGUGUAGCAUUUUUUUGGAGAUGCUUGCAAGCAAAGAACUAUUGAGCAUAGAUCUGAAACUCUUCAUAUUAUGAAGAGGUGGGAGGUUGAAAGGGCAUGUCUCCAAGUCUCGAUAGAGGACCAGCCCCAAAUUACAAACAUCAGCAGUGAAGAGGAAACAGAGGUAGCGUGGGGUAAAUGGUCAUUCGCUGGAAGCUGCGCUUUUAUCUUCUGUUUGCAUGUAGAACUGUGGCAUUCUGGUGUCUUUAUAGUGAUGUACAGUAACAUCAGUAAUACCUAAAAAGGUGGAGUGUUUUGAUUCUUUUUCAAAAUAUCUGCUUUCUUCUUCAGUUUUCUAUUGCACCUCAUGCGAGACCAUUCAUAGGCAGCUGCCUAUAUGUUGCUUAAGCCCAGUGUUCUAUACCUAUUUUUUCAUUGCUGGUUGAAUGUCAAGUAAGGUUCUUGAGUUUAGUUUUCAGAAAUCUGAAGCAUGAUCAUGUACAUCUGGAAUAGGUGGUGGCUGUGAUUUGCCUACACAAAGUGCUGUAGAACGUCAGACGGGUUACAAGUCAGGUCUGCGUUAGUUUCAAUUGGGCAUCCAAGACUAUUAAAACUGCUUUGCCUCAGUUCCAGUUAAAAUGUCAUUUACUUAAGUGGAUUAUGUGACGGUAAGUUAAAGUUUGAAGCACUCAGUUGCGGUAGAAGUGAGUUCUGUAAAAUAUUUUUCGAAACUAGGGUUUUACCCAUGUCUGGUACAUGGAGAUGUAUUUCAAAGAACAGAGAGGAAAACAGGCAUUGAACUGUUGGUUAUUACGUUAGCGCUGCUCAUCCCGUGUGGUGUGUGAAACAACAGCCUCCUGCAAAAAGAGUAUGUGGCUGUGUAAUUAAAUCUGUCUCGGGCUGCGUGUUGUUAAUGACUGCCAGUGUGUCUUGAGUCCGUGGGAGGCUACAGACCUAGUUAAAACUGGAUUCAGCAUUUGUUAUGUUGUCCUUCAAAUCCUAUGACUGUAAAGGAAGGGUAGGGAACACAAAGAGGUUAAAAGCACAUAGAAAUAAAACAUCCUUUUGUACAAAUUCUUUCCAAAUAAGGUGGAUUGCACCAACUCGCGCCCAGCCGGGAUUGACUCCCCCUCAGACUGUCUGGUUACUCAAUCCUGUACGGUUUGACAGAUUUUGACACACUUGUGAGCGCAGGUACAAAUAGAAAGUGGGGUAAGUUUCAGAGUGGUGCUGCCCAGAGCAUGUUACAGCAUUCCAGUGUGAUCACCAUCUCUUACACAGAUCAACAACCCUGUUUGCAUCCAAAACGAGGUAAAAGAAUUGAUUCCCCGUGGAGAUAUUAGUGAAAGCGGAGAUGUUGAUAAUUCAGACCAGAGUUACUUGGUUAAGGUGGCUUUGGAGUGGCUAAAGAGGAGACUGCAGAAGCCUAAGCUGAAAGGCAGUUAUCAGGUAGGGGAGAAAUGAGCAGAAACGUUCUUUGGGGACUGUCGUCAGGUUUUGGACAUAUGAGCAAUAUAGUCAUUAAUGAGACAGAGAUAAGAACUUGACCUGCAUCCAUUAAAUUUGCCGCUAAGUUGAACGGUAUUAUAAAUAAUGAUCUUGACUAGCGUGAGAGAAAUGGGAUGAAAUUUAACAGCAUAAAGUUCAUAAUCAGGCACUGAAAGAACAGAAAACCUUUGCUAUGACCUCAUUAGUUAGUAUAACAAAGAGGGAAGAGGUCUCUUGUGGGGACAUUAAGAUCUCUUGAAGAUGUUGAGAGACUUGAUUUUCUCUGUCUUGCCACAAUAGUUAAGCCAAUAGUCACUUGUUUACGGAUCUGAGAGGCGUUCCUCUUUUUUCUGGUAUGAACUAGGCGUCUACCAUGUGUUUGCCUGGACUUGAUCCCUAAAGGAGUCCUUUCUCUCACUAUGCCUUUGUUUUUUCCCUUGCAAAAUAUAAAUGACAAAACAAAGGCCAGCGACUGUGUUCCUUUCCCAUGAAACAAAUAGGAAACUGAAUUUGUAAGAGAGGGAGUUUCAAAGAGAAAAAUAGUCAACUGCUAGUCAUGUGAAACAGCGGCGACACUGCACUGAAAACAGCACAGAGGGAGAACAAUCAAAAAUCAAACUCGGAGACAAGACCCAAAGACUUUCAAGAAAGCCACUAAAUUAAUGAUCCUUUGGAAAGAAGGGAUGUGCUGGGAAGAUGAGAUAAACCGGUUGUGUGACCUGGACGAGCAGCUCUGCGAGUGUCUGCAGCAGCGAGACCAGAAAACCUGUUCUCACCAAGGGAGCAUGAAAUGUUCAGUGCUGCCAGUAUGAAAAUACUGCCUUUUUAAAAAAAUGUAGAGGCAAAAAAAGCAAUGCGAAAGAACGGUAUUGAACAUGCGAGAAGUUAUUUUAAGACUUCAUCAUCAUAUCUAAAGAGGAGCACACCAGGGGAACCAAAUAUUUGUCGCGUCUGUGACAAGUGAUCAUGGUCUGAAGACAGUUCUUAUUACAGUAACACAAAUACUGCCUUAACAAGGCUUAUUUCAAAUGGCUGAAAAAAAAAAAUGUCAAGUCUCAUCAACUCAAAAAAAUGAACAGAAAAGCUGAAUGAAAAUAUCAUGAAUGAAGUCAUUUUGAACCCCAAAAUGCGAGCUUCCGCUGUUUAAUACAGUAGCUUAGUGCAAACGGGGAAGAAGCUCUUAUGGCCGUAAAUACAAAUGCAGAAUAAACAGGCAAAAAGGGAAUUUGGUAAUGGAUACCAAAGAAGCUAGGGAUUAUUUGAAACUUAAUUGAGGAAAGAGUGAAAGCAUAAAUGGGAAAAAGCUGCAAAAUGCAGUAUUUUUUUAAUUCCCCUUCUCUGUAACACAGUCUUCACGGCGGGCUUUUUGUUGUCCUGGACUUUAUUUGUUUCUAUUGAUUUUAUUUACAUUUUUUGCCUUUUUAAAAGCUCCCUGCGAAACUUCAACUGGCAGAAAGACACUGAGACAUAAAGCAAGAUAGGACAAGAAAUCAGGAAUGACAGAAGGCGCCUUGUCUUUUCUUUUUUAUUUCCUAUUUUCUUUAUACCGCCCGCUCACAAUUAAAACUUCAUCUCCUCCAGAUGACACACAGAAGGUGGGCAUGAUUUUAGAAGCAGCUGAUAGAUGAUUGUAGCAAGUAGGAUGUCUUGAUUUUAACAGCUAUCCUGCAGCGCAGCUUUCAUAAGCAGUUGUUAAAUCCUCCUGUGGUUCGGUGCUGGUGGAACACCGCAGCCCUUUCUUCAGAAUUACCUACAUUUCUGCUUCCAGCGCUUGACAAUGCAAAGUAUUAACAUCUUCAGUUCUCAGACAGAUUUCUGCUGGGUAAGAGCAGGUGAAACCUCGCAAACGCAGUUCAAACAGGGGCACCCGGCCAUGCUGGGGCCGAUCGCUGUUAUUUUAUGUGGGUUGGAUUUACAUUUGCAGUAAAUGUGAAGCAGUCUGUUUAUUCCACUUGAGCUUUGCGUUCAGUCUGGUUUAGGAAUCCUUUGCUAUGAGAAACAUGCAAAGAGAAGAAUCCUGUGAAAAAGUGCAUUGUACUUUCGCUGUGUCCUACUGACCGUCUCAUUGCGCCUCCUUUGUAAAAAUCACAAGAUAUUACUUAACGCCGAGCAACGCGUUUGCACAAGAGACCUCGCAACCCAGCAGCUUCAACCCAGCUCUUAUCAUGCACAGGUCUGGAAAACAUAUACAUUUCUUUAAUCUUAAAAAUGAAACUUUUUUGGGUUUUUUUUGGUCAAUUGAAACUACUAUUUCCAGAGGUUAAAAAAUAAACACGUAGUCUUGUCAUCUAGCAGUUGCGUUUAAGAGUAGCAACCUUUAGGUUGUGUGAUGCUUGGGAAAAGUUAUCGUGUGUCUUCUGGGCCACAAAGAUUCUUUCUGAGACUAAUUCCAAAAGAAAAUAUACUGUGAAAACAAAACGACUCUUAAGGAUUCCUUUUGUGGUUUGUUUUCAUUCAUUCUUCUGGCUUGAUGUUGAUGAAAUAGGCUUUUUGAGUACCGUGCAUAAAUACUGAGUAUACGCUUCAUGAAAAAUAAAAAUACGCUAACUUUCCCGACAAA